ACACUGGAACGGUGGCUAAUACCGGAUGUGCCGGAAGGUGAAAGGCUUGCUGCCUGAAGAUGAGCUCGCGUCCGAUUAGCUAGUAGGUGGGGUAAGAGCCUACCUAGGCGACGAUCGGUAGCUGGUCUGAGAGGAUGACCAGCCACACUGGGACUGAGACACGGCCCAGACUCCUACGGGAGGCAGCAGUGGGGAAUUUUCCGCAAUGGGCGAAAGCCUGACGGAGCAAUACCGCGUGAGGGAGGAAGGCUCUUGGGUUGUAAACCUCUUUUCUCAGGGAAGAACACAAUGACGGUACCUGAGGAAUCAGCAUCGGCUAACUCCGUGCCAGCAGCCGCGGUAAUACGGAGGAUGCAAGCGUUAUCCGGAAUGAUUGGGCGUAAAGCGUCCGCAGGUGGCUGUGUAAGUCUGCUGUCAAAGAGCAAAGCUCAACUUUGUAAAGGCAGUGGAAACUACACGGCUAGAGUGCGUUCGGGGCAGAGGGAAUUCCUGGUGUAGCGGUGAAAUGCGUAGAGAUCAGGAAGAACACCGGUGGCGAAGGCGCUCUGCUAGGCCGCAACUGACACUGAGGGACGAAAGCUAGGGGAGCGAAAGGGAUUAGAUACCCCUGGUAGUCA
rnacentral:rRNA from 1 species